rnacentral:rRNA from 1 species
UACGUAGGGUGCAAGCGUUGUCCGGAAUUAUUGGGCGUAAAGAGCUCGUAGGCGGCUCGUCGCGUCGACCGUGAAACCCCGCAGCUUAACUGCGGGCCUGCGGUUGAUACGGGCGGGCUAGAGUUCGGUAGGGGAGACUGGAAUUCCUGGUGUAGCGGUGAAAUGCGCAGAUAUCAGGAGGAACACCGGUGGCGAAGGCGGGUCUCUGGGCCGAUACUGACGCUGAGGAGCGAAAGCGUGGGGAGCGAACAGG